rnacentral:rRNA from 1 species
AUUGAACGCUGGCGGCAUGCUUUACACAUGCAAGUCGAACGGCAGCGCGGGGCAACCUGGCGGCGAGUGGCGAACGGGUGAGUAAUAUAUCGGAACGUACCCAGAAGUGGGGGAUAACGUAGCGAAAGCUACGCUAAUACCGCAUACGAUCUACGGAUGAAAGUGGGGGACCUUCGGGCCUCAUGCUUGUGGAGCGGCCGAUAUCUGAUUAGCUAGUUGGUAGGGUAAAGGCUUACCAAGGCGACGAUCAGUAGCUGGUCUGAGAGGACGACCAGCCACACUGGGACUGAGACACGGCCCAGACUCCUACGGGAGGCAGCAGUGGGGAAUUUUGGACAAUGGGCGCAAGCCUGAUCCAGCAAUGCCGCGUGAGCGAAGAAGGCCUUCGGGUUGUAAAGCUCUUUUGUCAGGGAAGAAACGGUGCGGACUAAUAUUCUGCGCUAAUGACGGUACCUGAAGAAUAAGCACCGGCUAACUACGUGCCAGCCGCCGCAGUAA